rnacentral:tRNA from 3 species
UGCCGGCAUAGCUCAGCUGGUAGAGCAACUGACUUGUAAUCAGUAAGUCGGAGGUUCAAUUCCUUCUGCCGGCAG